GGGUCGGUAGCUCAGCCUGGGAGAGCACACGGCUGAAGACCGUGUGGUCGGGGGUUCAAAUCCCCCCCGGCCCA
rnacentral:tRNA from 1 species